rnacentral:rRNA from 1 species
UACGGAGGGUGCAAGCGUUAUCCGGAUUCACUGGGUUUAAAGGGUGCGUAGGCGGGUUGGUAAGUCCGUGGUGACAUCUCCAAGCUUAACUUGGAAACUGCCGUGGAUACUAUCAAUCUUGAAUAUCGUGGAGGUGAGCGGAAUAUGUCAUGUAGCGGUGAAAUGCUGAGAUAUGACAUAGAACACCCAUUGCGAAGGCAGCUGGCUACACGAAUAUUGACACUGAUGCACGAAAGCGUGGGGAGCAAACAGG